UGCAGUCGAGCGCCUCGCAGAGGAGCGGCAGACGGGUGAGUAACGCGUGGGAAUCUACCGUACCCUACGGAAUAGCUCUGGGAAACUGGAAGUAAUACCGUAUACGCCCUUUUGGGGAAAGAUUUAUCGGGGUAUGAUGAGCCCGCGUUGGAUUAGCUAGUUGGUGGGGUAAAGGCCUACCAAGGCGACGAUCCAUAGCUGGUCUGAGAGGAUGAUCAGCCACAUUGGGACUGAGACACGGCCCAAACUCCUACGGGAGGCAGCAGUGGGGAAUAUUGGACAAUGGGCGCAAGCCUGAUCCAGCCAUGCCGCGUGAGUGAUGAAGGUCUUAGGAUUGUAAAGCUCUUUCACCGAUGAAGAUAAUGACGGUAGUCGGAGAAGAAGCCCCGGCUAACUUCGUGCCAGCAGCCGCGGUAAUACGAAGGGGGCUAGCGUUGUUCGGAAUUACUGGGCGUAAAGCGCACGUAGGCGGGUAUUUAAGUCAGGGGUGAAAUCCCGCAGCUCAACUGCGGAACUGCCUUUGAUACUGGGUAUCUUGAGUAUGGAA
rnacentral:rRNA from 1 species